rnacentral:rRNA from 1 species
AAUGAACGCUGGCGGCAUGCCUUACACAUGCAAGUCGAACGGCAGCAUGACCUCGCUUGCUAGGUUGAUGGCGAGUGGCGAACGGGUGAGUAAUGCAUCGGAACGUGCCUUUUAGUGGGGGACAACGUAGCGAAAGUUACGCUAAUACCGCAUAUUCUCUGAGGAGGAAAGCAGGGGACCUUCGGGCCUUGCGCUAGAAGCGCGGCCGAUGUCGGAUUAGCUAGUUGGUGAGGUAAAGGCUCACCAAGGCAACGAUCCGUAGCGGGUCUGAGAGGAUGAUCCGCCACACUGGGACUGAGACACGGCCCAGACUCCUACGGGAGGCAGCAGUGGGGAAUUUUGGACAAUGGGCGCAAGCCUGAUCCAGCCAUGCCGCGUGAGUGAAGAAGGCCUUCGGGUUGUAAAGCUCUUUCGGCUGGGAAGAAAUCGCACCCUCUAAUACAGGGUGUGGAUGACGGUACCAGCAUAAGAAGCACCGGCUAACUACGUG